AGAGUUUGAUCAUGGCUCAGAUUGAACGCUGGCGGCAUGCCUUACACAUGCAAGUCGAACGGCAGCAUGAUCUAGCUUGCUAGAUUGAUGGCGAGUGGCGAACGGGUGAGUAAUACAUCGGAACGUGCCCUGUAGUGGGGGAUAACUAGUCGAAAGAUUAGCUAAUACCGCAUACGACCUGAGGGUGAAAGUGGGGGACCGCAAGGCCUCAUGCUAUAGGAGCGGCCGAUGUCUGAUUAGCUAGUUGGUGAGGUAAAGGCUCACCAAGGCGACGAUCAGUAGCUGGUCUGAGAGGACGAUCAGCCACACUGGGACUGAGACACGGCCCAGACUCCUACGGGAGGCAGCAGUGGGGAAUUUUGGACAAUGGGCGAAAGCCUGAUCCAGCAAUGGCCGCGUGUGUGAAGAAGGCCUUCGGGUUGUAAAGCACUUUUGUCCGGAAAGAAAUGGCUCUGGUUAAUACCUGGGGUCGAUGACGGUACCGGAAGAAUAAGGACCGGCUAACUACGUGCCAGCAGCCGCGGUAAUACGUAGGGUCCAAGCGUUAAUCGGAAUUACUGGGCGUAAAGCGUGCGCAGGCGGUUGUGCAAGACCGAUGUGAAAUCCCCGAGCUUAACUUGGGAAUUGCAUUGGUGACUGCACGGCUAGAGUGUGUCAGAGGGGGGUAGAAUUCCACGUGUAGCAGUGAAAUGCGUAGAGAUGUGGAGGAAUACCGAUGGCGAAGGCAGCCCCCUGGGAUAACACUGACGCUCAUGCACGAAAGCGUGGGGAGCAAACAGGAUUAGAUACCCUGGUAGUCCACGCCCUAAACGAUGUCAACUAGUUGUUGGGGAUUCAUUUCCUUAG
rnacentral:rRNA from 1 species